AAUAACUACUGGAAACGGUAGCUAAUGCUCCAUAAUGUUUAGCUCUCACCUGAGAGCUAAAUCAAAGGCCUUUGGCGCUCAAGGAUGGGGUCGCGUCGGAUUAGCUCGUUGGUGAGGUAACGGCUCACCAAGGCAACAAUCCGUAGCUGGUCUGAGAGGAUGAUCAGCCACACUGGCACUGAGACACGGGCCAGACUCCUACGGGAGGCAGCAGUGGGGAAUCUUAGGCAAUGGGGGAAACCCUGACCUAGCCAUGCCGCGUGGAGGAAGACACCCCUAUGGGGCGUAAACUCCUUUUCUACCGGAAGAAAACCCUGUUUUGCAGGGCGUGACGGUACGGUAGGAAUAAGCACCGGCUAACUCCGUGCCAGCAGCCGCGGUAAUACGGAGGGUGCAAGCGUUGUCCGGAAUCACUGGGCGUAAAGGGUGUGUAGGUGGGAUAGCAAGUCAGAGGUGAAAGCCUGCGGCUUAACCGUAGAAGUGCCUUUGAAACUGCUAUUCUUGAGUCCUAGAGAGGUUGCUGGAAUU
rnacentral:rRNA from 1 species